CGAAAACCGACACAGGUGGGGUGGUAGAGAAUACCGAGGGGCGCGAGGUAACUCUCUCUAAGGAACUCGGCAAAAUGGCCCCGUAACUUCGGGAGAAGGGGUGCCACCGCAAGGUGGUCGCAGUGAAGAGGCCCAGGCGACUGUUUACCAAAAACACAGGUCUCCGCUAAGUCGCAAGACGAUGUAUGGGGGCUGACGCCUGCCCAGUGCCGGAAGGUUAAGGAAGCUGGUCGUAAGCGAAGCUGGCGACUGAAGCCCCGGUGAACGGCGGCCGUAACUAUAACGGUCCUAAGGUAGCGAAACUCCUUGUCGGGUAAGUUCCGACCCGCACGAAAGGCGUAACGAUCUGGGCGCUGUCUCGGAGAGAGGCUCGGCGAAAUAGAAUUGUCUGUGAAGAUGCGGACUACGUGCACCCGGACAGAAAGACCCUAUGAAGCUUUACUGUAGCUUGGUAUUGUGCCCGGGCUCUGAAUGCGCAGGAUAGGUGGGAGGCUUUGAUCCAUUGCUUGUGGGUGAUGGUGAGCCAACGGUGAGAUACCACUCUUUCAGAGCUAGGGUUCUAACGGUCACCCGUCAUCCGGGGACCGGACAGUAUCAGGUGGGCAGUUUGACUGGGGCGGACGCCUCCUAAAAGGUAACGGAGGCGCGCAAAGGUUCCCUCAGGCUGGUUGGAAAUCAGCCGACGAGUGUAAAGGCAGAAGGGAGCUUGACUGUGAGACCUACAAGUCGAACAGGGACGAAAGUCGGCCUUAGUGAUCCGACGGUUCUGAGUGGAAGGGCCGUCGCUCAACGGAUAAAAGUUACUCUAGGAUAACAGGCUGAUCUCCCCCAAGAGUUCACAUCGACGGGGAGGUUUGGCACCUCGAUGUCGGCUCAUCGCAACCUGGGGCUGAAGUCGGUCCCAAGGGUUGGGCUGUUCGCCCAUUAAAGCGGUACGCGAGCUGGGUUCAGAACGUCGAGAGACAGUUCGGUCCAUAUCCGGUGCAUGCGCAGGAAUAUUGAGAGGAUUUCUCCCUAGUACGAGAGGACCGGGAGGAACGCACCUCUGGUGUGCCAGUUAUCGUGCCAACGGUAAACGCUGGGUAGCCAUGUGCGGAGUGGAUAACCGCUGAAAGCAUCUAAGUGGGAAGCCCACCUCAAGAUGAGUAUUCCCAUGGCGUUAGCCAGUAAGGUCACGGGCAGAACACCCGUUGAUAGGCUCUACGUGGAAGCCGGGUAACCGGUGAAGCGGAGGAGUACUAAUAGACCGAGGGCUUGACC
rnacentral:rRNA from 1 species